GGUAGCCCGAGGACAGUGGCGUAAGGGUGCGUAACACGUGGGCAAUCUACCGUUAAGUGGGGGAUAACCCGCCGAAAGGCGGGCUAAUACCGCAUGUGAUCGCGCCGGACAUCCGGUGCUAUUCAAAGGCGGGGACCGCAAGGCCUGCCGCUUUACGAGGAGCCCGCGUCCUAUCAGCUUGUUGGUGAGGUAACGGCCCACCAAGGCUUACGGGUAGCUGGUCUGAGAGGAUGGUCAGCCACAUUGGGACUGAGACACUGCCCAGACUCCUACGGGAGGCUGCAGUCGAGGAUCUUCUGCAAUGGGCGCAAGCCUGACAGAGCGACGCUGCGUGGAGGAUGAAGGCCUUCGGGUCGUAAACUCCUGUCAUUCGGAACAAUAUAGCGGGGUUAAUACCCCCUGCUGUUUGAUGGUACCGGAAGAGGAAGCCACGGCUAACUCUGUGCCAGCAGCCGCGGUGAUACAGAGGUGGCGAGCGUUGUUCGGAUUUACUGGGCGUAAAGGGUGCGUAGGCGGUUUCGCGUGUCGGAUGUGAAAGCUCACUGCUCAACGGUGAAAGUGCAUUCGAAACUGCGAGACUGGAGUACAAGAGAGGAGAGCGGAAUUCUUGGUGUAGCGGUGAAAUGCGUAGAUAUCAAGAAGAACACCGGUGGCGAAGGCGGCUCUCUAGACUGAUACUGACGCUGAGGCACGAAAGCUUGGGGAGCAAACAGGAUUAGAUACCCUGGUAGUCCAAGCUAUAAACGGUGUACACUUGGUGUGGGAGGAAUUGACCCCUCCCGUGCCGUAGCCAACGCGAUAAGUGUACCGCCUGGGGAGUACGGCCGCAAGGUUAAAACUCAAAGAAAUUGACGGGGGCCCGCACAAGCGGAGGAGCAUGUGGCUCAAUUCGAUGCAACGCGAAGAACCUUACCUGGACUUGACAUGCAACUGCACGUCCCGUGAAAGCGGGAUUCCUUCGAGGGUGUUGCACAGGUGCUGCAUGGCUGUCGUCAGUUCGUGCCGUGAGGUGUUGGGUUAAGUCCCGCAACGAACGCAACCCUUGUGUUUAGUUGCCACUCCGGAUGAUGAGUUCGGAAGCACUCUAGACAGACUGCCCGUGUUAAGCGGGAGGAAGGUGGGGAUGACGUCAAGUCAGUAUGGCCUUUAUGUCCAGGGCUGCACACGUGCUACAAUGGCCGGUACAGAGGGACGCAAGACCGCGAGGUGGAGCAAAUCCCCAAAAACCGGUCUCAGUUCAGAUUGGAGUCUGCAACUCGACUCCAUGAAGUUGGAUUCGCUAGUAACGGCGUAUCAGCUACGGCGCCGUGAAUACGUUCCCGGGCCUUGUACACACCGCCCGUCACAUCAUGAAAGCCGUCUGCACCAGAAGUCGCUGAUCCAACCCGCAAGGGGGGAAGGUGCCAAAGGUGUGGGUGGUGAUUGGGAUGAAGUCGAAACAAGGUA
rnacentral:rRNA from 1 species